ACGGACCGCUGGUGCAUCUGUUAGGCUGCCAAGCCUAUAGCAGAGUAGCCAAGUCUGGAACUGAUAAACGCUGAAGGCAUCUAAGCGUGAAACAGACCUCAAGAUAAGACUUCCCAUCCGAAAGGAGUAAGACCCCUUGUAGACUACGAGGUAGAUAGGUUGGAGGUGUAAGCAUGGUAACAUGUGUAGCUGACCAAUACUAACGGUUCGAGGGUUUGACCUAAAAAACA
rnacentral:rRNA from 1 species